rnacentral:rRNA from 1 species
AAGUCGAGCGAACAGACGAGGAGCUUGCUCCUCUGACGUUAGCGGCGGACGGGUGAGUAACACGUGGAUAACCUACCUAUAAGACUGGGAUAACUUCGGGAAACCGGAGCUAAUACCGGAUAAUAUAUUGAACCGCAUGGUUCAAUAGUGAAAGACGGUUUUGCUGUCACUUAUAGAUGGAUCCGCGCCGCAUUAGCUAGUUGGUAAGGUAACGGCUUACCAAGGCGACGAUGCGUAGCCGACCUGAGAGGGUGAUCGGCCACACUGGAACUGAGACACGGUCCAGACUCCUACGGGAGGCAGCAGUAGGGAAUCUUCCGCAAUGGGCGAAAGCCUGACGGAGCAACGCCGCGUGAGUGAUGAAGGUCUUCGGAUCGUAAAACUCUGUUAUUAGGGAAGAACAAAUGUGUAAGUAACUAUGCACGUCUUGACGGUACCUAAUCAGAAAGCCACGGCUAACUACGUGCCAGCAGCCGCGGUAAUACGUAGGUGGCAAGCGUUAUCCGGAAUUAUUGGGCGUAAAGCGCGCGUAGGCGGUUUUUUAAGUCUGAUGUGAAAGCCCACGGCUCAACCGUGGAGGGUCAUUGGAAACUGGAAAACUUGAGUGCAGAAGAGGAAAGUGGAAUUCCA